CCUACGGGAGGCAGCAGUAAGGAAUAUUGGUCAAUGGGGGGAACCCUGAACCAGCCAUGCCGCGUGCAGGAAGACGGCCCUACGGGUUGUAAACUGCUUUUGCACGGGAAUAACCCUCAUUAUGUAUAAUGAGCUGAAUGUGCCGUGAGAAUAAGGAUCGGCUAACUCCGUGCCAGCAGCCGCGGUAAU
rnacentral:rRNA from 1 species